rnacentral:rRNA from 1 species
ACGCUCGUAGUCGGGUUUCGGGUCGGGCCGAGCGGUCUGCCGAUGGGUAUGCACUGUUUGGCGCGGCCUUCUUUCCGGAGACCGCGGCUACUCUUAACUGAGCGGGCGUGGGAGACGGAUCGUUUACUUUGAAAAAAUCAGAGUGUUUCAAGCAGGCAGCUCGCUCUUGCAUGGUACAGCAUGGGAUGAUUGAAUAGGACUCCGGUGCUAUUUUGUUGGUUUCGAACACCAGGAGUAAUGAUUAACAGGGACAGUCAGGGGCACUCGUAUUCCGUCGAGAGAGGUGAAAUUCUCAGACCAAUGGAAGACGAACCACUGCGAAAGCAUUUGCCAGGGAUGUUUUCACUGAUCAAGAACGAAAGUUAGGGGAUCGAAGACGAUCAGAUACCGUCGUAGUCUUAACCAUAAACCAUGCCGACUAGGGAUUGGAGGGUGUUCGUUUCGACCUCUUCAGCACCUUACGGGAAACUAAAGUCUUUGGGUUCCGGGGGGAGUAUGGUCGCAAGGCUG